AGUUGUUGGAGGAACCACAGCAGCGCAGCUAAAGAAAACAGGAGCAGAAAGCUCAGCCGCAUUGUCUGCAUUGUCUGAUAAACAAUGAGAAUGCUAACACUAAUUAUUUCACCGUGGAUGGCCGGAGGAGAGAAGGAAUAUCUGACAUGAAAAGAUGAGAACCGUAUUCUGGCAUAGCAAGAAAUGCAGCUUUUGAUAUCACUGUGUUUCUUUUCCACGUGAGACGUGGACGGCUGUGCCAUGGAGUUGUUCCACGUGAAAGGUAACUGUCUGAAAAGCUGUGGUGGAAAGCCCUAUUUCAGACAGAUACCAAACCCCUUUCCUCUAGGAAUGACCGCUUAUUUCUGUGCAUCUGUUCUGCAGCAGCGUGCCAUCCCGCUCGUCUCUGUCCGAGGCAGCAAUCACUGGCGUGAGGAGAGCUGGUCCUGUUGCAGAGCCUGUAAAACUUCAUCUGUAAGCAGGGAGAAAAGCUCUGAGUGGUAAAGUACCGUCAUUACCCGGCUCUGUGGCUCACCAGCAGCAUGACUGUGAUGUGAGUACAGCAGGACUUUGCCAUGCCUGGGAUGUGAUUUCAGAGUGACACUGAGGUCUCGCCUGACCUCACUGCGAGAUCUAAAUCAUGGUCUGGCUAUUUUUGCAUUUCCUGCUGCUGUAGUCAAAGUGUAGCUUUCCCAUUCUGUUUUCUGGAGGCCCUGUACCUUCUGGUUGGGUGAAUUAGCAGGAACGUGAUCAAACCACAAGUGCACGUUUUGCCUCUUGAAGGACGGAGCUUGUAAAACAAGCGGCUUCCUCCGGCCUGGUGUUUGAACAGUGAGUGGGAACAGAACAUUUGCUUGUCACGGUGAGAGGUUUAGUUGCUUGUGAAGCACAAAUCAUGUGCAUGUGGCUGGGUGAUGCUUCCAAGAACUAGUUUUGACACAACGAAUGUUCCUAUAAGAUACAUAUCAAUGUGUUUGGAGUGACGGCUUGCUUCAGACUGACAGUGCAGAGCGAGUGAGAGGGAAGAGGUUGUCUUGCCUGGAUUAAUGCUGUGCUUUUUUUCCUCUGUAAAAGGGAAGAGUGACUUUUGAAAGUCUCCACCGGUGUUUUAAGUCAAAGUCUGAACGUCUUUUUUUGUCUGUUCUUUGGAACUGGUUUGGAGGGAGACGAGGGAAUGAGUGAAUUUACGGCUUUCUCAGCGCUAACUGUGAAAACAGAGCAAUUAUAUUGCUUGGCACGGCUGACUGAGCGCCCAUGGAUUUGGUAACAAUGAAUUAUAAAGCUAGCGUUGCAGCAUUGGUGUUAAAUGUUGCAUGUGAUGGGGGCAGAAUCAGAUUUUGUCAAACUUACAGUCUGCGUCUAAACAGGUUGUAAACUUCUCCAGCGGUGGCUGUCAGAUCUGCUUCUGCCUCUAAGCUCGCUGCGAGCACUCGUGCACCAAAGUGAUUGAUUUUGAGACUGGGGUGGCAGAAAUAAGUAAAAAAUAGCACGUACAAGAGACUGUUCCUUCUUUAAUGUUCAUCCUGGGAGCAGGCAGCGCUGCUCUGUGGCUUUAUCUGGACUAGGAAAUGUCUUCCCCUUUUAGCACUGGUGCUAAAAGACGAUAGUGGCUGUACAAACCGUAGUGCAGAUCAGUCCUGGGUGUUUUCAUCACCUUGUCCUCCUGUGCUGCCAGUGGCUGGGGAAGUGCCUUGCUGCUGCAACAGCCCUGCUUACCCCCCUUCCUAGCAGCAGGAGCCUGCUCUUCACAUCGACGCUUAAAGGCUGGAUAUUGACCUCCAGGCAGAGCUUACCUCCAAAUGAAAGCACUAGACCCGGUAUAACCAGACAGAAAUGUCUCUCAGCUGCCUGAAACUUGAGUUCGAAGCUUUUAAGCACUGGCCCUCGGAAAAUAUAAAGCUUGUGCUCAGGGCUGUAGCUCCAGUAAUCCACAUAAUGUCAUGUGGAGAUUAAAAAAUGGCUGAGACUCGAGCACUGACCAAAAGCAUCUCUAAUCGUGUGAAAUUCAGUCCAAAAACCCCAUUUCCGCAAGUUACCUGUUCCAGCAAUCCAUCAUCUACCUUGCUCCAUUUUGUAAAUGGCUCCGACUGUGUUCUCAGAGUUUUCUGUUUCUUUACGGCCUCCCUCGCUGUGGCUUUGUUGGUAGCUAGAUAUAUGUAUUUUUUAAUUUCCACUGCUUACGGUGGUACUUAAAAAUGCAGAGGUCAUCUCUUUCCCAAGCAUUCCUCUUCGGCUGAGCGCUGGUGACAACCAGCACCUUCUCGCCGUCAGCAGCCCCUGUCCUUCCAGCCCUGCUCACGCUGAGCAGUCGAGGCUGGUGAGCCUUCUUGGGGUGAUGUCCUCCCCAAACCCAGCACCCUGUCCCACGACCCAAACAGACCCCACCAGGUGGCGGCAUUUUCUUGACGGUGCUGCCGGAGUUUCUGAGGAUGCCCAGGGCUGCCCGAACCGUGCUGAGGAUGGACGGCGUCUCCUCUCCGCUUCAAGCUUCCAGACCUUAGCAUGCACCUCCAGGAGCUCGGUUCAGUCAUCUGAAGGCUGCCUAACGAGGAGGAGGCAGGGAGGGUGUGUUUGGUGUGAGUAAUCAAACAAAAGUUUGCAAGGCGUUGAAGUGGUGAGGCCAUCCGAUGGUUGAGGGACAGCUGCUAAAAGCUCCUCUGCUCUUCUUCUAGAGGUGAGCUCAGGUGGCAUAGCUGGGCUGUGUUCUGCAUAAAGCUGCGUUUGUGAGGGUGAUUAGCUGCAGGAGAUUCUUUGCUGUUACAGAGGACUCAUUAAGGGGGAUAAGCUGAAGGUGUGAAUGAGAAGCUGGUGCCAAGGAAAGCUGACAGUGAGCUUAUAGCUUGUGGAGCAUCUGCGUAGGCAGCCUUGUUGGGAAGCGGAGGAGGUCGGUGCUUCUGAGCGCUGCUUUUCCUUCUGAUCAAUAGGCUUAUUUUUAACUCACCUAGCAAGCUGUGCAGAAGUGGGAAGGUAAGCCAUGCUGAGGUGGAAGUGUUGUUUCCUGUGCAUUUGGACCAUUGUGGUAUCUGACCUUACGGUGGCCUUAGUGUACCGCUGCGGCGUGUUGCUUACAGACAUUAAAUAACAGAGGCAUUAAAGCUUUUUUACGUCUCGUUAAGGUGAUAAAUGGCAAUCGCUUCCAGUUGGUUGUCCACUCUAAAAGACAGAAUGUAAUAAAAAAACAAGGGUUUAAGUAACUGUUUGCUGCAGGUUAAAGCUGAUAAGUGUGCUCUGGGCAGAGGCACUGCGUGCCCUUGCCAGCCAGCAUCACUGAAUCAUUAAGGUUGGAGAAAACCUCUAAGAUCAUCAAAUCCAACCAUCCAGCUGUCACUACCAUGCCCACUAACCACAUCCCUAGCAAGGGAGAUGUCCAAGGAUGCAACUGAAGCACUCGUGCAGAUGCUCUGCUCCUACCUGCCGUGUGACAGCUCCUCUGCUCCCUCCUUUGUAACAUCUCAUGCAUUUGGGCUGUGGCUUGGAGAGCAGAUGGGAACUGCCUGUAGCCUGCUAUCUCCUUUGCUUUACUCCCAACUUUGUUGCAGUGUUAGCCCUUGGAUGUUCAAACUGUUUGCCCAUUGUCUCCUUUAAGGAACGCUGACGUUAAUUUGUGCACAAAUGGUUGGUGUGGUUUUUUUGCUCUUCUGGUUUAGUAGGAGUUUUUAGCUGGGUCAUUUCAGCUGCUCGUGUUGUGCCAAAUGUUGCCUAGGUUACUCAUUUAUUAAAAGUCACUGAAGUAUUUGGAAGUAUCAACAAUACUGGUGUGUGCUGAGGAAAAUGAGGAUGACAUUAUUUUAAAACACCAGCUUCCUGACUCCUGUAUUUCGGCCGCACGAUUUAUCUCUGGCUGAACAUUUUAAUGUGGUGCUGCUUCCUAUUUUUAAACAAUGGGGAAAAAAAAGGGGAAGAUAACAGGAGCAUAACUAUGACCCAUUGGCUUAUUAUGAGAUCACGGGUUCCUUUCGACUGAUAUUUAUAGAUUUAAAAAGAAGGGAAAAAAAGCUGAGAUUUCAGCAUUUUCUGGCAUGUGUGCUUUCAUAGCCCCAAGGUCACCGAGUCAAGCUCUGAUCUGAAUUCUUUCAAAGCCCUCUGUGAAGACUGGUGGUAAUCGUGGAAGUAAGAUCUGUGUCUGCAAGGAAAGUAACCAAGGGAAGAGAAGAAUAGCUACAUUUUGGUUAUUCAUCGUAUUUACACGGUGCUGUUCUGUAGAUGCGCGUGGUGUUUUACAGGCGGAGGCUGCCUGCCUUUGGACGCUGUAGUCUGGACUGGAGAAGAAAGGAAAUAGUGAAGAUGGCAAAUGAGUCUGGAAGGAGAUGGAGAAUUACAUGGUAGAGUGUCCUGAGAGGGGGCUGCGUGCCUGGAGAUGUGCUUGCGAGGAGCUGCAGGACUGGGAACGAGUACUGCUGGGGAGAGAAAUAUUUAGAGACUAAAAGUGAUCCCUUGUCAAUCUGGCUUUAUAGAAUCAUAGAAUCAUCCAGGCUGGAAAAGGCCUUGGAGAUCACUGGGUCCAACCAUUGAGUCCCUCCCAACGUUAGGCUUUCAUGUUGCAGUCCAAAAAAUUCAGCAGAACAUUUUCCCAAUGUGGUUGGCAUGAAAAAAAGCAUAGAAAGUGAUACUGUGGCAUCAGUUCUGGAAGCUUGCUGUACUCUGGGUAGCAGUUUGAGCAUGAUGUCAGGAGACUGGGUCCUGGAAAAGAAGACGACAACUCAGAUUGCGGUGUGAAGUUUCGGACAAGGAGAAAUGAAUUAGGAAGCGAUGUUUUGCAUAGGCUUCCACAUCAAAUGCUGGAUGCCCGCUGCUGGGAUCUGGGCUUUGGGAGAGGAGGCUUUGUGUCAGGGUUGCUUGUAGGGCUUUUUUGGCACGAAGGAACAAAAGACAACAGAGCAGCAUUCAAGAGGAAGCUUAAUGCUGGAAGAAUGCAGCUCUGGAAGGGCACUGCCCCGUCUCUUCUGCUGCUGAUGGUGCGAUGGGGGCCCAGCUGCCAGCAGAGCACUUCAGGGCUGGCAAGCUUCAGAGGGAGCAUUGCAUCUCCAGAUUAAGUUGGCAUUGCCUGCUUACAGUUGCCUGACCUUGUUGGCUGCGAGGUACUCGGUGACCGUGUAACAGUGCCACCGUAUUUUUCCUGCUAGGAAACAUGGCCUGUCCAGCCCCCUUUGUCACUGAAGGUUUGGAGGAAAUGCAGACGGAGCCAGUGCUUCUGGAGCGCUUGCUUCUUUCAGCAGUAGCUGUGUGGCAGAGAGUUGAAAGAUUACUUGCUUUCUUCAGUUUCUCAUUGCUUGAGUCAGUGGAUGGGCUCGUGAUAAGCAGAGGUAAUUCACACCUUAAUUGAGCUGACUCUUUAGUCCACAAAUGCCAUCUCAACAAGCUCGGGUGCAGAUGCUGCACUUUAUCAGUGCAAUGUGUAGGAACAGGGAUUUCCCAUCCUAGGACGAUGUGGCCUGGGAGGCUGAAGCGAAUGAAAUGAAAUGAGAGGAUUGAAGUGAUGAUGGUUUCUUCAGUUUUGUGCACCAUUUUGUCAUGGCAAAUGGUGACGGCUUUAUUAGCAAUUCCCAAGUCUAUUGGGUUUAAAUAAAAUUAAAUCAGUUACACUUACACCAUUCAUUGCCUUGCUAUAUAAGUGCAUCUGAAGCAUCAGCGGUUUUAUUUGAGAGCUGCUGAGGUGUAGGAAGGUGAGGAAACGGGACACAAGUAGGUCAGAUAACUUGCCUCAGGACAUGCAUCAGAAGUCAAAUCUCCUGAGAUCUCUGCAGUGCUUUGCUUGCAUAGUUUGACUUGCAGUGCCUUGCGUUUGGGAUACCUUUAAGCCUGCUACUUUGCUUGGAUCCUCCUGUGGCUAUUAAUAAUCCUCUCAAAUACCGCAUUAGUUGUCAGAUCUGCAGGUCAGCAGGGCAAGGUGCUCCCCGGGGAAGCUUCCAUUCGGGUGGUUAUGUCUGCUCGCUCCCUUUUUUGGCAACAACAGAGGUGAAGUUUCGUUGACCUUCAAAGUGUAAUAAACUUAUCUGGUUCCAGUGAUAGCAGGCUGGGCUGCCGGCUCAGAGGGCUUUGGACAGCCAGCACUGAUUAACUCCUCUCCAUUUGUGGACAGGGCCAGGUGUGUGCCUGAGUCGUUAUUUCCAAGAAGAUAACUCUUCACCAUAGAGGAAAAUGCAUCACAGAUGGAGGCUGGAAAAUAACAGAGUGAAGAUUAUACCACCUGAAGCUCUACCAUACUUUCCGUGGCAUUUGAAAUCCUGUGCCGCUGAGUAAAACAUCUUUGUUUCGUUGGCUUUGUGAGGAGAGCCGAGCGAUGCAGAUUAGUUUUCCAUAUUAGUUUGGUAUUUCAUCUCAGUGUGCAGCCCCGGCACUAUGCAAGAGGAGAAGACAAAAGGCUUCCCGAGAACGAUGUUUUAUUUAUGCUGCAGGUUGUACCUCAGGCUGUGCAGCCUGGCUGCUGCAACCCAAGCGUGGUGCUGGGAAAGCAUUAGGCUUCUUCAUCAAAUAGUGCUGAGCAGUUGUUGCUUCGUGGUGCUUUUCUGGAAUUGCUUUCCAUUCUUUUGCUCACGACGGUGAGUAGUUGAUAGAGAGGAAACCAGGGGAAGUGGAGUGGUGUCACCAAAGCAGAAAUAAAGAGCUCUGGCAAAAGGAUAGGGUGUAAAAAUUCAACGUGCUUUUAAUCCUGCUUUGAGAUUUAUCUCUGAGAUAGCAUAUGCUCUUAGCAUACCUCUGCGGGGUCUCUUCUCCCUUGCUCUCUGGCAGGAGAAUGGAGGGAAUGAGUUUUAUAUCCCAUGUAGGAAGGUAGCGAAGAUUUUUAUGGUCUCGCUGUAAGUAUUUAUGUCAGUUGUUUUUCACGUGCCCUCAGCUGAGGACUCCUGUGCGUGGAGAAGCGUUGCAGAAGGCAGCUGUUCCCAUCGAGCUGUGUGAGCCACGGCCAUCUGAAACAGCCCCCCAGGUUUGGGUUCCAGUGGUUACUCAUUUCUCACUUGCGUAACCAUCAGAUCAAUCUCAGGAAGAAAUCCUCUCAAUACCUUGCUUAUUCUGUGUUUAAAAAAAAAAACAACACAACGGAAUGGGGUGAAAAUAGAAAGCUCUCUGCAAACAUAACGUGGCUAUCAACACCAAACCUGUGUGUAGCGUGAGAGCACUGUUAGCUGAAGCCUCGUGUCUCAAAGUUCUCUGGAUGCCUCUUCCGUGGGAGUGUUACACCAGCAAUCUCAAAUUGGAUGCCCAGGAGGUUUGGGCUUCGUGGCUGUCGCUGGUGCUUGGAAGGAGCCAGGCUUACGCAGCUCGUACAUGUGUGAGCCUCUAAGCAGCCGUGAAUUAUCCUUAUCUCCUCAGUCAUAUAUUCUGACUUUAUAUUAUUACACAUUGUAAAGCCCCGGCUGUGCAAAAAACCUGAAGAGCAACAGCUGUUACUGUCAAGAGAUGCAAGUGUUUUCCUUGCAGUUACCUGCCUCUGUUCUCAGGGUGGUUUUGAAACAAGAUCAGCUCCAUGCAUAGAAGGCUCUCUGAUGAGAGGUAAGGUAGUUUCCCGUACGAGUAGGUAGGUGUUCCUAUAAACAAGUGCCAAGAAUUAAAUUGACCUACUUCUUUGCUGAGAAACUGCUUACUAUGGUUGUGGGUGACGCUAACGUAGACGUUCACUUUUCUCUAACUUAUUAGUGAAGGGAUGACUGACAGCACCCAGCGUUCUGCGUGCUCACGAUGACAGCGUGGGUAGCAAGCUCUGUUUGUUUGGGUUAGCAAGGUUUGUUUGGGUUGUGAGAUCCCUUGGUUGUCACGUGCAUCCCGUUGUAGAAUAUAAGCACCAAAUCCAUUUACGAAUUUGUCUUGUGCCCGACUGGCUGUAAGAUGAUUUUAGGAAGCCUGUUGGGUUAAAACUGCAAUGAGAGAGGUGUGGAGGGGGGUUGAGAACCGAUGAAAUAAAUGGUUGGUGUCAAGAUUGCUACUGUUGCUGAUGGAGUUUAGGAGGAUUACUGUUUCAGUCAAAAACCCAUGAGGAUACCUACAAAACAACAGUAGCUUUACAGUAGCAGGAGACUUAAAGGAGAAGCUGUAGUGCAUCCCGUGCUGCGUGUCCUUGUGUUUCAUCCGUGAAAUGGCUUUCUGCUUUAAGUGAUCUAGCUGUACUUUUGAUGUCCAUUUAUAACAACCACUCAAUUCCAUAGCUGACAUGGUAUCCCUCCCUGUUUUGUUUCCACACUUCAUUGAUGUGGCUUCUUUGUGACCUACUUUGUGUUCACCGCUUUAAGGUUGCUUCUUUUUUUUUUUUCAUUCUGUUCCAAAAGGAAGUGCCUUCCAUGAGAAGCAUCUGAAAUUUGCUCGCCAGUUUUUCAUGCUGGUAGAUGGAAACGUGGACCCAACAGAAUGGGCGUCCUUCAGCCGCACCAGGACCAACGAUGUGACUCUUAGGUGCUUUCCUUCCUAAGCUCUCUUGCUAAUUGUUCUGAGAUCCUGGGGGUGGAUGUUCGGAGAAUUGGGGAAGGAAAUGCCUGUAUUUCCUUGGAGCUGUUGUUACUCAUUGCUCUGAAGUGUGACUGUGAGGACAUUGCAUUUGCCCCUCGUCCUUUCAGGGGGCCAGCGAUGUGUCAUGUGCUUAUUACUUGCACAGCUUGGGGAAGGAACAUCCCAAUUCUUGCUCCUUUUACUCAUUCUGGGAUAUUCUUCUUUUGCAUUCCUCCCUGUGGUUUCUUCCUGUAAUUUCCAGCAGCGGUGAUUCAGCUCAAGGCUUAGCUGUAUCUCUCUCUUCAAUUAGUGGUGCUUUUGCUUUUUAUCUGGGGCAUGAGGUAUGUGCUUGCUUAUUCGUGGGGACACUUGAAAACCAGUUAAUGUGAUGCAGAUGUGUCGUUUUCAGCAGCUGCAUAGCAUUUAGCUAAGUCUUAUGAAGGAAUUAAUACCUCAAAGUAUUACAUGUCACUGGAAAAGAAUAAUUCACUUCUGUGAUUUCACAAAGUGGACAUAGCUUAGCGUUUGUUGUCAUCAUCUCCUAUGACUUGAGGCUUUUUUCCUCCCAUCAUUUCACGUUGGUGCUGUGUUGGUGUAAACACAGGUUAACCCCAAAGGAAAAAAAAAAAAACAAAAAACAAACAAACAACCCACACCAGCCCUUCUCCUGGAAUCUUAAUGGCUUUUUGGUUAAGUAGCUUUGGAUCCAAAGAGCAGCUAGACCUUGUGUUUGUUUGUGCUGUUGAUUGCAACUGCACGGCUCUUGCUUGAAACAGCAACGCCCUGUGGAAGUACAACACACUCAAAUAGUUGUGUGUGUGUGUGUCAGUAGCAGAGGUGACAACCAGCUUUUGUUAUAAUUUGGGGGUGAGCUUGGUUUUGCUCUGCUGGUGCUGUGCAUGCAGUGCUGCGCUGUCUUGGGAAAACACUUAGCAGAGGGUGAAUGAAGAACUGAAACCAGCCAGAGCUGCUCGCCACUGGUACGAGGAGCAGCCCACUCUUAUCAGUAUCAUUCCUCACUCCCACUUUGGUUGCCUUGCAUUACUUUUAGUUAAAAGUGAUGCAACGGUAUCAACGUGAGGCACGCGUGUACUUGUACAGAGAGUGCUGGAAGAGCUUCGGGAGCCAAAAACGUGGCCCAAAUUAUCUGCUUUGGAGUCUUUUGCCUCAAAAGCUGAGCGCAGGGCAUUGGGCUGAGCCUCGCUGAGACUUGGAGGUUAAAUGAGCUGGAUGUGAUGGGGCAGAAAAUGAAGAAUUCAGCAAAAAGAAGUGGAUGCCAGCUGCGGUGCGGUGUCAAGCUGUGCUCCCCAGUAGGUUGCUGGACGGAGCAGCUUUCUGCACAUUUCUUGCCAGCAGGGUCCGGGCUGAAGCGGGGGCUGUUUGUGUUGGAGGCGAGCUCGGUACAGAGGCCGUGCUUGUGUGGAGGCAUGGCAUGUGAAAGCUUUUAGUGGUUUGCAGAUUAAUUUUAGGAGAUUCCUUUUCUCGGCUUGAAAUAUCCAGUAAGGCAGGUGAAACCCAGGAGGGAAAGCUAUUAAUUUCUAUCCUUUCAUGUAUUUAGUGUUAGUCUUCAUCAGAGAAUAGGAACCGACGAAUGCAAAUCUGUUCUCCAACACACACAGACACGUUUUGUUGCUUGGAAGCUGAGCGGGAGCUGUAAUGAAUGAUCAGCGCCCGAUUCCAGAGCUGUGACAAUCUGGCAUCGCCUUAAUAUUCUGAGCCAUCAUGGGUAUUAUUCCUCUGCAUUUUUCCCCCUUUGUCUUCUUCAAACCUGUGUUCUAAUCUGAAUGCUGUUGGUUUCUAGGAUUGAAAGAGAUAGUGGCUGGCUCUGUGCUUUGCUCAUUUUUCUUUUCACAACAGAGGCGAAGAGAGGAUGGUGCGAUUCCUCUUUUUUUUUUUUUUUCCUCCCCUUUGAUAGUACAAAUGCAUCCCGAAUUAGAAGUGACAUGGAAAAUUGCAGUUUUUUCCAGUUCUGUUCACAAUUGUCUCUCUAGAGCGUGACGAUACAUAACUUAUUCAUGACAGAGAGAAUUACUUAAUAAGCGAGGAACUUUUCUUAAGGAAUCCCAGUACUUCCAGGGAGAAAGUCUUUUUGCAUCCUCAAAACUUGGAGCAACUCCCCUUUGGGUUCUCUGGCGACUGUGACAGCUUAUCUUCGGAAAUAAGUGCAGAUUAAUUUACAUGUGUCUUUAUUUUAAAAUAUAGCUUGCUUACCCAGAUGGCAAUUACAUUCAAGUUAAUGGUAAUGUAAAACAGCAGGAUCUAGAGUAGUUCUCCAGCCUAAGGGCUGACCAUUUUUACCAUCCAGCUGUUUUCCAAGUGAUUUACUCCAUUUUCCCACUUGGCUUCCCUGCCUCACCCCUCGGUCUGAGCCUCGGCGCUUGCAGCACAGUGUGGGUGGCAAGACGGGAAGAACAGCUGCACUUUGCAGCUCCAGUAAAUGCCUUUAUUACAAUUGUGUCUACGUUACACUAAUACCAAAUGUCUAAGUUCACUAACACAGAUUGUCGUCGUUCCCACCCCACCGGCGUGCAGCGAGGACUGAGAGCUCUGCCUCACCCUCGCUCAGCCUUCGGCAGCCAGAAGUGCUGCUGCCUUUCUCCUGCUUCUCGUGCGUUGGGUGUGAUGUGCAGAAGGGAUGAUGUGCUCCCAAACAGCUCAGGAAGAAGCCUGGAUGACCUGUGUAAAACAGGACUGCCGGCUGGGGUCCUGUGCUGGAGAGCUGGGCCCCAGGAGCUCUCCCUCAUCCUGGCCAUGCCCUGCUUGGGAGCGCACCGCAGCCUGGAAGCAGAGACCAAAGCACUUCAAGAGGGAUUUGACAAAUCCACCUGUCAGUGUCACCAGGCACGCGUUUAUCAUCUUUGACAAGGAGAAAAUUGCUUUGACUUGUCUGCAGGACAAGUAAAAUUUAGUAAUAGUGAUGAGGUAUUUUAAAAGUUGUCGUGAUCACGUAAAUCCUGUUAUCUCUGUAACCUGAUGUUAGCAAGCCCUGAGCUUUAAAAUGACAUUAACUUUCUGGAAAAAAACUGCCUCGUGUUAACAGAUAACUGGGUAUUUUCCCCUCUGUUCAUCUCUAAAUCCUGUUGCCUUUGAAAGGCUGACACUUCUGUUCCUUAGCCCCGUGUCCCUGCUAACAGAAAAUUGAAGGAGAUGCCUUUUAGAGAAAAAGGAGAAAAAAAAGCGUGUAGCUACAUCGCAUUGUAAAAAUGCAAAGGAAGCAAAGACGCCCAAUCUGACAAAGCAUCAGUGUUUAGGCUGUAAGCUCAUUAUAAGCCUUGUGUAGUGGGAGCUGAUUUUUUCCAAUUAAUUUCGAUGUAUUACCAUAAUAAACAUUUUAAUAAUAUCCUUUCCUUCCCUCCUGUCAGCAGCAGCUGAAUAUUUCAGUGAGCUACCCGGGCUGUCAUGGCAGCCCUUAUCCCCAGCAUCUAUGCAGAUCAGUUUCCAGGAAUGCUUAUAGGUUAUUUCCAGUUCAGUGCAACAUCCCAAGCCGUGCUGCCUCUGCUGUUUUUCUUAGUGCAUUC